ACAAGACUAUGGCUCAUUUCAGUACCGGGAGCGCGAAGAGGGAGGCGCAGGGAAAAAGGAUCUUGGAGUAACUCUUCUGGAGUGAUGGAAGGUCUCGGAACCAUAUCUUCUCUUCCUUCCCAGUACACAGAAAGGGGGAACUGAGGUGGGGCAGGGGGAGCGGGCCUGGAAGCAGACCAGGAGCAGUAUUUAAUGACACACACCCCCAAGGCGGAGGUUCUAACGGGUUGGGAUUCCGGCGCAGGUGUACGGACUCCUUGGCUAAGCGGUUGGCCACCUCGCCUUACUCCCAGACGUCGCUCUUACGGCUCGCCUGACGCUGGGUGAUGCACACUGAGAAGACUCUGGCACAUCCUACUCUCUAGCCAUCCUGCCCACACGGUGACCGAUACCCUUGUGACGUCAGGCGUCCAGAGGAGAGCAGGGCGUGAAAACAGACUGAAAGGAGAGCCUGCAUAGGGAGGCACAGGUGGAUUCUGCCGUGCGCUGGCGGUGACAACAGACAGAGAACUGAGGCAUUUGCUAUUACAAAGUGCAGCCAUUCGAAUGUAUCCAGACCUUUUGGAGAAGAGUGAGCCAUGGGUCAUCUGGUAAUGUGCCCUCCAGAACCUGUCACUGCCUACAAAGAACGUAAGAAUCUAAGAGCCACACGUGGAGUGAAUGGUCAAAAUGGGUCCUGUCUCACUGGCCCAUACCUUCUGCUCUACCUCUGGCUGACAGGAAUGUCCACCCUUCUGGAAAACACAGACUAACUCUUUGGGCUUUCUCCUGUAACAGCCUCUCCUGAGCCCUGCUAAGUCAGGGCCCUCCACAACCAGGACCCUUCACGGCCAUAUCACUUCCAAGCCUCAACUUCUCUGUCCUACCUGGCUCCAUCCCCAGCAUCAGAACUGCCAGGUGACAUUAAACCUUCCUCAUCUGAGUGU